GAUGAACGCUAGCUACAGGCUUAACACAUGCAAGUCGAGGGGCAGCAUGGGCUUAGCUUGCUAAGCCCGAUGGCGACCGGCGCACGGGUGAGUAACACGUAUCCAACCCUUCCGGUAACUCCGGUAUAGCCUUUCGAAAGAAAGAUUAAUCCCGGAUAGUAUGGUGAUUCCGCAUGGUUUCUCCAUUAAAGGAUUCCGGUUACCGGAUGGGGAUGCGGUUCCAUUAGGCAGUUGGCGGGGUAACGGCCCACCCAAACCUACGAUGGAUAGGGGUUCUGAGAGGAAGGGUCCCCCCACAUUGGAACUGAGACACGGUCCAA
rnacentral:rRNA from 1 species